CCCCAGAGACAUCAGAGAAUCUGGCAGUAGGGGAAGAGAGUAACACUGAGUAAAAAGGUAAACGACAGUGUGAUUGCUCUACCAUGGGUCCCAUCUCUGCUCAGCACAGACAGAUUCAACUGCGGUUCCACAAAAGCCUCUGCAUUCAAUUGGUCUCCAUUUUUCACCAAGGCCUCAUGUGAUCCCCAGGCUGGCUGUGUCUCCAAAAGCCUAAUAUGGAAGGCUCAAUUCAUGGGAUGAACCUACCUGACUAUUAAAAUAGCAAAAGCAUUUACUAAGGUAUACUUAAAAACCAUUAUACGACGGGAAGACUUUCUGCUUAUAGCAUCAUUUUUGCCUAGAACGGCCAUGACUGCAGCCUUAUGUCAACCUAACUCACACAAUACACAACCCAUGGGGAAGUAUGGUCGUUACUGCCAUGCGCCUCCUUAUGGAGGAGGAAGAUGGGCCCAGAGAAGUUAGGUAACUUAUCCAAGGACACAGGAGGCUAUAAUGACUCCCUCUGCCAGCAAUCAUCCUACUCUGAGUAGUCCUCUGUGGAGAACAUGGCCUGUCCCAACUCCUACUGAUGUGGUACCAGUAGAGCUCCCCACCAGGGAAACAAGUUCUUCAGUUCAUUCACUAGUAUUUUUUCUGUAAGCAUGUGAUUGUUGAAAGAAAAAAAAAAAAAGUCUGUCAUCUACUGCACAUAUAUUCAAAUAUUUUAUAUGUAGUGAAGCUUAAGAGAGCCCCCAUCUCCUAUGUGUGACCUGUGGCUAUGUGAUGGCCGUGACCCUGAGGCUCCUCAUACGUGGAAAGGAAAGAAUGUGUCCAAUUUGUAAGGUUCUUGUGAGAAUUUGAUUGAUGAAGGAUACCACUUAAUAGUAUUUGGCACACAUAGCAGGAAUCCACAGUGUCUGGAGAUUGGGUCUAAAUUCCCUGGAAAGACAAUGAAAUAAUUUUAUAUAUUAAAACAAUGUAGCUAUGGAUUUCAAGCUCCGAGAUGAAAAAUCUAUCAAAAUCUUUGUGUGAAGUAUGGCAUUUUUAUGUGUUUUAAAUUCAAUCAUGUUUAAAUGCUCAAUAUUAGUGAUUAUUAUAUUAAGAAGCAAUUUUAAAUAAUCAGAAUUUGUAAGUAAAUUUGUAAAUGUAUUUGAGCCUUAUCUCACAGUGUUUGCAAUUAUUAUAAAAUAAAAAUUUUACUGAAUCCUUAAAA